UACGUAGGGGGCGAGCGUUGUCCGGAUUUAUUGGGCGUAAAGAGCUCGUAGGCGGUUUGGCAAGUCGGGUGUGAAAACUCCGGGCUCAACUCGGAGACGCCACUCGAUACUGCUAUGACUCGAGUCCGGUAGGGGAGUGCGGAAUUCCGGGUGUAGCGGUGGAAUGCGUAGAGAUCCGGAAGAACACCGGUGGCGAAGGCGGCCUGCUGGGCAGUAGCUGACGCUGAGGCGCGA
rnacentral:rRNA from 1 species